UGCCGCGUGCGGGAAGAAGGCCUUCGGGUUGUAAACCGCUUUUGUCAGGGAAGAAAUCUUCUGGGUUAACACCUCGGGAGGAUGACGGUACCUGAAGAAUAAGCACCGGCUAACUACGUGCCAGCAGCCGCGGUAAUACGUAGGGUGCGAGCGUUAAUCGGAAUUACUGGGCGUAAAGCGUGCGCAGGCGGUUAUAUAAGACAGAGGUGAAAUCCCCGGGCUCAACCUGGGAACUGCCUUUGUGACUGUAUAGCUUGAGUGCGGCAGAGGGGGAUGGAAUUCCGCGUGUAGCAGUGAAAUGCGUAGAUAUGCGGAGGAACACCGAUGGCGAAGGCAAUCCCCUGGGCCUGCACUGACGCUCAUGCACGAAAGCGUGGGGAGCAAACAGGAUUAGAUACCCUGGUAGUCCACGCCCUAAACGAUGUCAACUGGUUGUUGGGAAGGUUCCUUCUCAGUAACGAAGCUAACGC
rnacentral:rRNA from 1 species